CCAGCUUGCUCUGCCCGUACGCUCGUCUGCUGUGGUAGUGCCUCUCGCUGUUGAUGUCGUCGAGCUGGAUGGAGCCCCAGCUGUGUGCCAUGGAGGACACGGUGAUGAUCCUUGCAGGCACAGACCUUUUCAUUAGGUCCAGCAACAGGAAGCCUGGGAACGAGAUGAAUCUGAGUGCAUCUCCUUUGCUCAUGGCUUUUGAGAAUGGGUGUGUAUCAGCUAGACAAGGGAAAGCUGUGUCUAGAAAAAAGACAGAUCAAAUGUCCUCAACUCCCAAUGAGUAGUGUUCUCUGCCUUUUCAACAUCUCUACAUGCCAUGAUAAUCCUUGCACCUAUAUGCAGCAUCACAGGAAGACAUGCACCAGAUUGUUAUUACAGUGCAAAGCAAGGGCUGCUAAACAACAACUGAUGAG